UGUCCCCCACUAUAGUAGUGGGGGACAUAUUGUUUUUGCCCUGUCUGUUGGUCUGUCUGUCUGUUUGCGCCUACUUUAACAUUUUGCAAUAACUUUUGCUAUAUUGAAGAUAGCAACUUCAUAUUUGGCAUGCAUGUGUAUCUCAUGAAGCUGCACAUUUUGAGUGGUGAAAGGUCAAGGUCAUCCUUCAAGGUCAGAGGUCAAAUAUAUGUGGCCCAAAUCGCUUAUUUUAUGAAUACUUUUGCAAUAUUGAAGAUAGCAACUUGAUAUUUGGCAUGCAUGUGUAUCUCAUGGAGCUGCACAUUUUGAGUGGUGAAAGGUCAAGGUCAUCCUUCACAAGGUCAAGGUCAUCCUUCACAAGGUCAAGGUCAUAUAUAGGGGACAUUGUGUUUCUCAAGCACAUCUUGUUUUUUCAUGAAACUUGAAACAUGGAUAGAUGGCUAUAUGGACUUUAUGCAAGUCAUUACAUUUUGUUCCUAGGUCAAAACUUCUGAUUCAUAUAGCAACAGCAAAAAAAAAAUUCUGACAAUGGCGGAAUUUCUGACAAUGGUGGAGCCAGUUUGGGACAUAUAUUGCUUGGCAAUAGUCAUGUUACAAUAUGCAGUAACAAGUCAACUGAACAGCCUGAAUGUUGUCAGGUUAAAAUGCUGAUAGAAAGAAAAAUAAUUCACCUAUGAAACAUUAUAAAUUGCAUACUUAUAUGCCUUCUUUAUAAAUUCCAAGAGGCCUUUAUAUUUUUUAUCUAAGUUUAGAAUAGCAUAUAAUACAUAUCAUAUGAAUUGGUGUUCAUCUGAUAUGCUCAUUUGUAUUUUCAGUUUGGCCAUGUCCAGGAGGGAGUGACUAAGUUAUGGGGUGCAGAAGAAGCACAAGCCAUCUUGACAUGAUGAAUCAUCCCCAACAGCGCUUGACGAUGGUUUCCUGCUCGAUGAGGAUGAAUCCAUAACUGAGAACUGCGGAUGAUACAUCUCUCAACACUGCAUUGUAUAAAGACAAAGCAAUUCAGUGUGGUUCGUCAUCGUCAACAACAGAACCAGACUCAGCUGACGUAGGAGACUGUCAAGUUGAGAUCACUGUGCCUAUCAGGGUUGAGUGUUACAUACUGAACGAAGUGAUCCAAAGCACUGUAACUCCAAUAUAGUGCGGUCCGUUAUAACGCUGUGUCCAAUAUAACGCGGGGGGUCCUUGGAUCCCGUUUUUUCUCCAACCUUCCAUACUGAUUCAAAUCCAUGUUAUGCAACUUCAUGUUUUUUCAUAAAUUCAAAGAAGCCGGCGAUCACAGCUUGAUUGCUUUAUCCAUCCGUUUAACUUAUUUUAAUCAAUAAGAGGUUAAACGACACUCGACAGCUUAUUGGUGUUAAUCUGUUGUGUAAUGUCAAUAAAGGCGUGAAAACUCGCGAGUCGGUGUUUAUUACAUGUAUUCCCUAUCAGAGCGGUUCGGUGCGCUAAUUUCAAUAAGGCAAGUGCAAGCGGAAUAAUUAUCAAAUUAAAGUUAUUUAAAACGAUUACCUGUUUAUGUUUUGUAUUUAUCGUGUAUUGUAUUUUAUUGUAUAAACUAUGGCUGUGUAAGUGUGUUAUCGUUUAUUAUAUGCUACACAUGCUUGAUAAAUAAAAAUAUCUUUGUGUGUGUUUAAUGUUUCAGUACGUAUACGAAAAAUAAAUAAAAAAAUCCUGACGAUUUAUUUACAUGCUAACGCAGUGUAAUAGUUAACAGAGAUGCACUUAAAUUUUUGCCCGUUAUCAGAAAGUCCACGGAAAGCACGUUUUUUACAUGCUGCUUAUGACGCAAUAAAACAUUUCUUUGUACAUGUAUCGUAUUGCAUUCAAUCUAAAUUUAAAUUCGCUCGUCCAAUGAAAGCUGUGUCCCAUAAUGCACUGUACUAAUUUUUCUGAAAAAUGGCGUAGGCAUACGAAUUUGUUUACGAAGUUCGUAAACAUAUUUCUUGUCAUAAAUGUUAAACAUUAUUUUUUCGUAAGUGAUGUAAUUAUAUUGGAUUAUCGGAUAAAUGUGCACAUUAGAAAAGCGGUAUGUAUACUGUUAUCGUUCGAUUCGGUUUAUAUGCAUGUAUUUGCAGAUGACAACACAGCAUGACGAUACACAUGACCUACAUUAUAGGCUAUACUUUACCUGUUUUUAUAGCCCCUUAAAUAAAUAAGCUCAAAACUUAUUACGCUGUCCGUUUAUAACGCUGUUGCGUGGCUUGGACCCCGUCAUCCGCGUUAUAUUGGAGUUACAGUGUAUUGUCAAUAUGCACGCUUGGGACCGUGACAUUCUCUGUUUACAUUCAGAUCAAAGCAAUGGCAAGACAUAUUUAAGUAUGAAAGUAUGUUUUAAUGAAGCAGGACACACUACUGUGUAUGUUCAUGGUCAGGAAGUUGCACAGGACCAUUUUUUGUGGGAAACAAAUUUUUAGUGAUUAUCUUUUUGCCCUUUAGCUCACUUGAGCACAAUGUGCUAAUGGUCCGUCAUGCGAUGUGUGUUGUGCGGCGUUAACAUUUGCCUUGUAAACAAUCUAGAGGCCACAUUAAUUGUCCAAACAUCAUGAAAUUUGGUCAGAACAAUUUUCCCAAUGAUAUCUUGGACAAGUUAAACAAUUGUUCCAGUUUAUUGUCCAUCAUCAUGAAACUUGGUCAGAUGAUUUGUCCCAAUGAUAUCUUGGGCAAGUUCAAAAAUGGUUCCUGUUGGUUCAAAAACAUGGGCACCAGGGGGCGGGGCAUUUUUUCAUAUAAGUCUAUAUAUAGCUAUCGAAAAACCUUUUUAACACUCUAGAGGCCACAUUUAUUGUCCGGUCUUCAUGAAACUUGGUCAAACAAUGUGUCACAAUGAUAUCAUGGUUUAAAAACAUGGCCACCAGGGGGGAAAAGCUUUUUCCUAACAUGGCUAUGGUAAAAACAUGUUAACACUCUCAGUCACAUGUGACUAUGAUUUUUCUUCAGCAACAUUACAGGUAAUACCCUGCCUCAUACGAUAAUGGCUCUUAUGCUUACAUGUUUGUUGCCUGCAUAACUGCAGAAUAUUAGCUGUUUUCUUCCAAUAUGUUAUUUGUAAUAUCAACAACUUGCUUAAUAUGUGUAAUGUUUGAUAAAUUGCUUAAUUUUUUUAUGCCAGGUGUACUGAUAUUUGUUCAUGAAUUAUGAAGUUUUGAUGAAAUAUCAUUAAACUGUAAAAACUG